rnacentral:lncRNA from 1 species
GGAUUCCAACCCCAGAGCUGGAAAAAAAAUGCACAAAUGGAUUUUUCUUUUGAUGUUUUGGUUUUUUUGCUGAGGCGGGGUCUUGCUAUGCAGUCCAGGUGGCCUUGAACUCACUGUGGAGCCCAGGCUGGCCUCAAGCUCUCUGUGAUCCUCCUGCCUCAGCCUCCCUAGUGCUGGGGUCACAGGUGUGCACCACCACGCCCGGCUGCGUGAAGGGGAUUCCAAGCCUGGGCUGUGACUCCCUGCCUGUGAGUGGUCCAGGCUGUAGUGGGCGCCCUCUGCUGGGCACCCAGGUACUGCACGUGUGGCUCCAGCUGGCGCGAGCCUCACUUCCCAGCACGUGCUGUGGGUCUGCAGGCUGUGCUCCUGUGCCCGGGCUGACCUCGUCCUGGAUUCCGGCCAGAAUCUCUUCUCCACAUACCUCUCACCCUGCUCCAGGUGUUGGCAUCCGCGUGCCUGAGACCCAAGGGGAAGACCAGGCAUCCCCAGGUGCGGGCCGGGUGCUGUCCUGGGCCACCCAGCACCAGGCUCCAGCUCCCCAGGACAAAGCCAGGCGGACCAGGAGCCAAUCUUGCAGAAGGGCCAAGGCCCCCAGGUCACCCUCGCCCAGCACAGCUGCCAAAGGCAAAGAUCUCGAGUCUGUUGGUGUCCGCGCCUGGAGGAGAGGACAACAGCUGGCCAGGUUGCUGCUGGGGCCACCUCCUGCCCGGCCCUCACUCUGGAGCACUGGCCCCCGGAGAGACCUCGGCCCCGCCAUGCGAUUAGGGGACAUCAAGAAGGCUGCAGCAGCCGAGGGCUCCUCGGCUCACACCUGGCCACACAGGCCCACCUCGGCCACCAGUGACCGGCAGGUGUCCGAGAACACAGCCAGCCUGGCUUCCCACUGCCAGCGGGCAUCCAUCCAGAGCGCCAUGGCCACCCUAGGAGACCUCGGCUGCCAAAUGCAGGCUGGGCUGGAGCUGGCCCAGGGCCCCGGGGAUGGGCGGAAGCACAGGCCAUCAAAGCUGAAGCCAAAGAACCUGGGCCCGCAGGGUCCCCGGAGCACACGGCACAGGCAGGGCGGCUUCCGAAAGAGCUCUUGGAUCAUGACGGAGGGGACACGCUCCACCUCAGACAGGCCCAGCCUCUCCCAUCCCCAGCAGCCCGGGAGGACCUCGGCGGAGUGGCAGCCCUGUCCUCAGAGGGCCUGCGCAGCCAGAGGAUGGGACCUCUGCUUCCGGAGACCUCCGCGCCCCCCUGAGGAGCUGAGCCCCUCUUCUCAGCGGCCCUGGAGUGCCCUGACCCGUCAGGGCUGUCCUCAGCAGGCCUGGGUGGAUGGAGAAGACUGGGAAGUCCCUGUCCCCAGACCAUGGCGCUCUCUGGAAAGACCUCCCCCUGAGCCUCGGCGCCCCUGGAGUGGGUCCUUCCUGGAUAGGGCCGGACCCCCCUGCAAGGCCAAAGGCACCACCACCCCUCCCUCAGAAGCCAAGCAGGCCUGGCCGGGGAGCUCGCCAGGGAAGGGCCUUGAGGCACAGCCGUGCCCACCCCACCUGCAGCCCCGGGGGCCCCUGGGCCGGCUCCACAGCUCCAAGGCCCUGCGCGACUUCAUGCACCAGAAGGCACAGGUGCGGCGGCAGCAGGUCCUGCAGCAGGCAGUUGCGGCCAUGGAUGCGCUGGAGCGGAGAAGCCAGCAGCUGCAGGAGGUCUACCGGAAGCAGAGGGAGGCUGUGCAGGGCCAGGCGGUCCCUGUGGUCUCCCAGACCAGCCCUGGCAUCGUCACCUUUGUCCCCAGCUCCACACAGUCAGGGGUAUGUGCCUGGGGUCACUGCUGUCCCCUGUGUGGGUACAGCCGGGGAACCCGGAGGUAUUUCCCUGGGGCCAUUGGGGUUCCAGCUGAGGCAGCCCCUGAAGGGGGUCCCCAGGUGCCCAAAAAGCUUUGA